rnacentral:misc_RNA from 1 species
GGGUGAAGUCGUAACAAGGUUCCAUACCGGAAGGUGUGGCUGGAUCACCUCCUUUUUAGGGAGACCUAAUCCAUUUAGAAAUCGAACACAUUAAGUAAUUAGAUUGAGAAUUGGUCUAUCGUAGGUCGGUCGAGAAUAGGUUGAAAACUUUCAAAGUAUUAUCUUGGUUUGGUUUAUAACUUAAUAAAAAAGUGGAAAAAUUCAGCAACUGUAGAGAGAGUACAGACUGCUGGAUGAGAGUCCAGUCAGAACCUUGAAAACUGCAUAAUAACGCGAAAAAAAGCAGGCAGACACAGACAUUCGAGAGGAUGAAAGUGAAUGCAAGUCGAACCAAAGAAAAGUGGUC